GCUGGGAGUGGCUGAGGGGUGGUCUAUGGUGAUAGGUGGGAUGGGCUGGGAGUGGCUGAGGGGUGGUCUAUGGUGAUAGGUGGGAUGGGCUGGGAGUGGCUGAGGGGUGGUCUAUGGUGAUAGGUGGGAUGGACUGGGAGUGGCUGAGGGGUGGUCUAUGGUGAUAGGUGGGAUGGGCUGGGAGUGGCUGAGGGGUGGUCUAUGGUGAUAGGUGGGAUGGGCUGGGAGUGGCUGAGGGGUGGUCUAUGGUGAUAGGUGGGAUGGACUGGGAGUGGCUGAGGGGUGGUCUAUGGUGAUAGGUGGGAUGGACUGAGGGGGCGGGAUUUAAGAGCUGAUGUUCGGUAAUGUAUUAUUGUUAUGUGACUGAUGUAUAUAAAAGUGCCAUGUAUGUCAAAUGUGUGUCUAUGUAGCAGGAAAGCUGUAUAAAGAAGAAUAUAUUUCUCCUCUGCAGAGCGGUGGCGGUGGAGGGGUUAAAUAACC
ensembl:lncRNA